rnacentral:rRNA from 1 species
GGAAGGAGAAGUCGUAACAAGGUUUUCAAUGUAUCCUUCUUGCUCAUAUUGAGUUCGAAGAAACACGGAAGCCUUAGUUUGGGAAAUCACGUUUUUUUCCAAGCUAGUGUCGUUGCUACCAUUUGCAAAAAAUGAUGCUUCAAUGCGACGCCAACAAAUUGCGGGAAUAAGAUGAUGGGUUGCUACCAAGCACGGCAAAAGCAUCAAAACUUUUGAGUGUGGCCAGGUGAGUUUCCUGGGUAAGGUCAUAAGGCACCCAUAUAUCUUUACCUGCAUCCAAGCCGUUCAAAUACGGUGCUGUUCACAGACUAAAUGUUGGCGGGCCAUUCAUUGGCUCAAGAUAUAGUCGGGCACACCAAGAGAGGUGUGACUUGAAUGUUUGAUGCCCCGCAUGAGUAUUCACCGUUCCGUAGGUGAACCUGCGGAAGGAUCA